GCCGGGCGUUGUGGCAGGUGCCUGUGGUCUCAGCUACUUGGGAGGCAGAGGCAAGAGACUUGCUUGACCCCAGGAGUUGGAGGUUGCUAUGAGCUGUAAUGCCACGGCACUCUACCCAGGGGGACAGCUUGAGGCUCUGUCUCAAAAAAAAAAAAAAAAAGAGACAAAGUCUUAGUUUAUCACCCUCGGCAGAGUGCUGUAGUGUCACAGCUCACAGCAACCUCCAACUCCUGGGCUUAGGUAAUUCUGUUGCCU
rnacentral:sRNA from 1 species